CGGGGGGGGGCAAGCGUUGUUCGGGAAUUACUGGGGCGUAAAGGGCGCGCAGGCGGCCUGGCCAGUCCUACGUGAAAUCCCACAGCUCAACUGUGGAACUGCGUGGGAUACUGCCAGGCUUGAGUCCGGGAGAGGAGAGUGGAAUUCCCAGUGUAGCGGUGAAAUGCGUAGAUAUUGGGAGGAACACCGGUGGCGAAGGCGGCUCUCUGGACCGGCACUGACGCUGAGGCGCGAAAGCUAGGGGAGCAAACGGGAUUAGAUACCCCGGUAGUCCUAGCCCUAAACGAUGAGCACUUGGUGUGGCGGGUAUCGACCCCUGCCGUGCCGAAGCUAACGCAUUAAGUGCUCCGCCUGGGGAGUACGGUCGCAAAGGCUG
rnacentral:rRNA from 1 species